rnacentral:misc_RNA from 1 species
GCAAGGCGAGGGCGGCUACAGCAAGAAAUCAGAGCGGGGUCAGGCCUCGUAUUAUUUCAGCCAGCCAUAUUUCAAUGUAUCCGGCGCAAUCACGCUUGGCGGGAAACAGAUCGCCGUCACCGGCAGCGCGUGGAUGGACCGUGGAUGNNNNNNNNNNNNGGCUGGGACUGGUUCUCGCUGCAUCUCAAUUCAGGCGAGAAAGUCAUGCUGUUUCGUCUGCGUCAGAAAGACGGACGGAACUAUUUCGCCGG